ACGAACGCUGGCGGCACGCUUAACACAUGCAAGUCGAACGAGAGAAGAGAAGCUUGCUUUUCUGAUCUAGUGGCGGACGGGUGAGUAACACGUGAGCAAUCUGCCUUUCAGAGGGGGAUACCGAUUGGAAACGAUCGUUAAUACCGCAUAAUAUAAUUGAACCGCAUGAUUUGAUUAUCAAAGAUUUAUCGCUGAAAGAUGAGCUCGCGUCUGAUUAGCUAGUUGGUAAGGUAACGGCUUACCAAGGCGACGAUCAGUAGCCGGACUGAGAGGUUGAUCGGCCACAUUGGGACUGAGACACGGCCCAGACUCCUACGGGAGGCAGCAGUGGGGAAUAUUGCACAAUGGAGGAAACUCUGAUGCAGCGAUGCCGCGUGAGGGAAGAAGGUUUUAGGAUUGUAAACCUCUGUCUUCAGGGACGAAAAAUGACGGUACCUGAGGAGGAAGCUCCGGCUAACUACGUGCCAGCAGCCGCGGUAAUACGUAGGGAGCGAGCGUUGUCCGGAAUUACUGGGUGUAAAGGGAGCGUAGGCGGGAUCGCAAGUCAGAUGUGAAAACUAUGGGCUUAACCCAUAAACUGCAUUUGAAACUGUGGUUCUUGAGUGAAGUAGAGGUAAGCGGAAUUCCUAGUGUAGCGGUGAAAUGCGUAGAUAUUAGGAGGAACAUCAGUGGCGAAGGCGGCUUACUGGGCUUUAACUGACGCUGAGGCUCGAAAGCGUGGGGAGCAAACAGGAUUAGAUACCCUGGUAGUCCACGCCGUAAACGAUGAUUACUAGGUGUGGGGGGACUGACCCCUUCCGUGCCGCAGCAAACGCAAUAAGUAAUCCACCUGGGGAGUACGACCGCAAGGUUGAAACUCAAAGGAAUUGACGGGGGCCCGCACAAGCGGUGGAGCAUGUGGUUUAAUUCGAAGCAACGCGAAAAACCUUACCAAGUCUUGACAUCCUGAUGACGGUUCCUUAACCGGAACUUUUCUUCGGAACAUCAGAGACAGGUGGUGCAUGGUUGUCGUCAGCUCGUGUCGUGAGAUGUUGGGUUAAGUCCCGCAACGAGCGCAACCCUUACUGUUAGUUGCUACGCAAGAGCACUCUAGCAGGACUGCCGUUGACAAAACGGAGGAAGGUGGGGAUGACGUCAAAUCAUCAUGCCCCUUAUGACCUGGGCCUCACACGUACUACAAUGGCUGUUAACAGAGGGAUGCAAAGCCGCGAGGUGGAGCGAACCCCUAAAAGCAGUCUUAGUUCGGAUUGUAGGCUGCAACCCGCCUACAUGAAGUCGGAAUUGCUAGUAAUCGCAGAUCAGCAUGCUGCGGUGAAUACGUUCCCGGGCCUUGUACACACCGCCCGUCACGCCAUGGGAGUCGGUAACACCCGAAGCCUGUAGUCUAACCGCAAGGAGGACGCAGUCGAAGGUGGGAUUGAUGACUGGGGUG
rnacentral:rRNA from 1 species